rnacentral:rRNA from 1 species
AUUGAACGCUGGCGGCAGGCCUAACACAUGCAAGUCGAGCGGGGUUUUCGGACCUAGCGGCGGACGGGUGAGUAAUGCGUAGGAAGCUGCCCGAUAGAGGGGGAUACCAGUUGGAAACGACUGUUAAUACCGCAUAAUGUCUACGGACCAAAGUGUGGGACCUUCGGGCCACAUGCUAUCGGAUGCGCCUACGUGGGAUUAGCUAGUUGGUGAGGUAAUGGCUCACCAAGGCGACGAUCUCUAGCUGGUUUGAGAGGAUGAUCAGCCACACUGGAACUGAGACACGGUCCAGACUCCUACGGGAGGCAGCAGUGGGGAAUAUUGGACAGUGGGCGCAAGCCUGAUCCAGCCAUGCCGCGUGUGUGAAGAAGGCCUUCGGGUUGUAAAGCACUUUCAGCGAGGAGGAAGGGGUGUGUGUUAAUAGUACACACCUUUGACGUUACUCGCAGAAGAAGCACCGGCUAACUCUGUGCCAGCAGCCGCCGCGGUAA